AGAGUUUGAUCCUGGCUCAGAUUGAACGCUGGCGGCAGGCCUAACACAUGCAAGUCGAGCGGUAACAGAUUGAUAGCUUGCUAUCAAUGCUGACGAGCGGCGGACGGGUGAGUAAUGCCUGGGAAUAUACCCUGAUGUGGGGGAUAACUAUUGGAAACGAUAGCUAAUACCGCAUAAUCUCUUCGGAGCAAAGAGGGGGACCUUCGGGCCUCUCGCGUCAGGAUUAGCCCAGGUGGGAUUAGCUAGUUGGUGGGGUAAUGGCUCACCAAGGCGACGAUCCCUAGCUGGUCUGAGAGGAUGAUCAGCCACACUGGAACUGAGACACGGUCCAGACUCCUACGGGAGGCAGCAGUGGGGAAUAUUGCACAAUGGGGGAAACCCUGAUGCAGCCAUGCCGCGUGUAUGAAGAAGGCCUUCGGGUUGUAAAGUACUUUCAGUUGUGAGGAAGGCGUUGGAGUUAAUAGCUUCAGCGCUUGACGUUAGCAACAGAAGAAGCACCGGCUAACUCCGUGCCAGCAGCCGCGGUAAU
rnacentral:rRNA from 1 species